AAUAUUGGAUAUUGGGGUCAACCCUGAUCCAGCCAUGCCGCGUGUGUGAAGAAGGCCUUCGGAUUGUAAAGCACUUUAAGUUGGGACGAAGGGCUUUAGGCUAAUACCCUGAAGUUUUGACGUUACCAACAGAAUAAUCACCGGCUAACUCCGCGCCAGCAGCCGCGGUAAUACAGAGGGUGCAAGCGUUAAUCGGAAUUACUGGGCUUAAAGCGCGCGUAGGUGGUUCAGUAAGAUGGGUGUGAAAUCCCCGGGCUUAACCUGGGAACUGCUUUCAUAACUGCUGAGCUAGAGUACGGUAGAGGGUAGUGGAAUUUCCUGUGUAGCGGUGAAAUGCGUAGAUAUAGGAAGGAACACCAGUGGCGAAGGCGACUACCUGGACUGAUACUGACACUGAGGUGCGAAAGCGUGGGGAGCAAAC
rnacentral:rRNA from 1 species